UCCCACAUGGAAGUGAAAUUCAUUACUGGCAAGCACGGUGGCAGGAGACCCCAGAGGGCUGAGCCGCAAAGAAUUUGCAGAGCCUUAUGGCUAACUCCAUGGCCUAGUUUGAUCUUGAAGUUAUUGUCUUGGAUAAUCCUCUCAAAUCUGUUCCUGCACUUAACAGCCACUCAUCACAUGAUGGAGCUCCCUCUCAGGUUCCUUUACAUCGCCCUGUCAGAAAUGACUUUCAGGGAACAGACAUCACAUCAAAUCAUCCAACAGAUGUCCCUUUCAAAUAAGUUGGAGCAGAACCAACUAUAUGGAGAAGUCAUAAACAAAGAAACAGACAACUCAGUGAUUUCCAGCGGAUUGACAUUACUCUUUACACAGAAACCUCAGUCUCCUGGGUGGAAGAACAUGAGUUCAACAGAGCGUGUGUGCACUGUACUGGCUGACUCUUGCCGUGCUCAGGCUCAUGCUGCUGACAGGGGAUAA